AAAACACCACAGAUCCCUUAGGAGUCCCCUGUGAAGAAAUUAUUGUUUACUCUGCUAACUGAUUGGUCUACGGUGUUCGAGUGCAUUUUAAAGCGUCUACAGAGGAGCAGGGUGUGGGGGUCUCCUGCUGAGAAAAGCGAGCAAGCUUUGGGUUCUCUCAGAAGUACUGACAAGGACCAUGUUGUGAGAUGGUAAUGACAACCUCAACCAGAGAGAGCAUCGUGGGAAAGAUUUCCACCAAGCAUCAAGAGACAGAGGGACCUCUGAAAGCAACUGUGCAGAAUCUUUCCAGAGCUACAUUUUGCAGAAGGCUGACAUUCACGGCCCACAGAGGAUAAUAAUCAUGGUCUCACAGCACCACAGAACCUUGGCACAAUCCCUACCAUCAGGACGUGUGUGUCUGGUGGUGGCCGAGCUAGGAAAGGUCCAGAUCCAACUGCUCUUUAGAGAGACUUGAACCUGACCACUCCAGUCUGAAGUUUUAGUUCUCCAUCGUGAGCAAAACCAAGAAAUACAGAAUAAAAUGGAUUUGAUCCCUGAAGCCAAGUGACCUCAA